UCCGGGCGGCGGGAACGGCAGAGCUGACCGGCUACAAUCUGAAGCUCAGCCAUGGCCGCUGCGAGAUGCUGUUCCAUAUC
rnacentral:tRNA from 1 species